CUCCCAUCAACUUAGAAUCCGAGUGUCUUGGUGUUCACAGAUGGAGAGUUCACUGAUAAUCCUUGCCGACAGCGCUGAAGAUUGCAAAUUUCUUCCCGAGCUGAGUAGCUGCGCUGAAAAUUGAGAGCCUCUUCCCGGGCUGAGCAGCAGCACUGAAUCUUCCUUGUGAACCUGCGCUGCCCAUUUAGUCUAUUGCGUGAACCUGUGCUGCCCUCUAAGGUUACCGUACUGCGCUGCCCUCGAAGAUUACCGCCAUACCUGCGCUGCCCUUUUGUGUGUCGAUAAGCCAUCCGUUUGUCGCUCGUGCGCUGAGCUGUGGACUGAGUAACGAUGAUCUCCGUCCCACCUGUACAGAUUCAGAUGCCCUACUGCUCCGAUAACAAUGAACCUCGCGAAAUUGAAUUAAUGCAGCAAUGCCUUAUAUUAAGAGUUGUAUCAGCGCUGGAGUCCCCUAAACACUGAAACAAUGCAACGAUACUUGGAUUAAAAGCCCAUUCCUCCAUCAAACGAGCUCACAUACAAUAAACAUAAUAAAAACGGAGCCAAAAUAAUAGAAAUUAUUCCCAUUAGCAAUCCCAAAAUC
rnacentral:lncRNA from 1 species